CUAAGCGGGAAGCCUUCUCCAAGAUAAGGAUUCCCGAAACCCUUCGAGGUUUGAAAGACCCCCGGUAGAACACCGGGUUGAUAGGCCAGACGUGGAAGCAUGGUAACAUGUGAAGCUGACUGGUACUAACGGUCAAGAGCAACUACUCU
rnacentral:ncRNA from 1 species